rnacentral:rRNA from 1 species
AGGACGAACGCUGGCGGCGUGCCUCAUACAUGCAAGUGGAGCGACGAACCAGGAUUUAUCCUGGGGCAAAGCCGCGAACGGGUGAGUAACACGUGGGUUACCUGCCCCGAUGAUUGGGACAACCCGAGGAAACUCGGGCUAAUACCAAAUGUGUUCUUGAUCGUGAUGACCAAGAAGAAAGGAAGCCUCGGCCUCCGCAUCGGGAUGGGCCCGCGGCCCAUUAGCUAGUUGGUGGGGUAAUGGCCUACCAAGGCGACGAUGGGUAGCUGGUCUGAGAGGACGAUCAGCCACACUGGGACUGAGACACGGCCCAGACUCCUACGGGAGGCAGCAGUUAGGAAUUUUCCGCAAUGGGCGAAAGCCUGACGGAGCAACGCCGCGUGAGUGAUGAAGACCUUCGGGUUGUAAAGCUCUGUCGGAGGGGAAGAACACAAUGACGGUACCCUCCAAGAAAGCCCCGGCUAACUACGUGCCAGCAGCCGC